UACAGAGGGUGCGAGCGUUGUCCGGAUUUAUUGGGCGUAAAGCGCUCGCAGGUGGUUCGAUGCGUCGUGCGUGAAAGACCCCGGCUCAACUGGGGGGUGUCGUGCGAUACGGUCGGACUGGAGGCCAGUAGGGGGAUGCGGAAUUCCGGGUGUAGUGGUGGAAUGCGUAGAGAUCCGGAGGAACACCAGCGGCGAAGGCGGCAUCCUGGACUGGUCCUGACACUCAUGAGCGAAAGCGUGGGGAGCGAUCCGG
rnacentral:rRNA from 1 species